rnacentral:rRNA from 1 species
GGAUAAGAUGGAGCAACGCCGCGUGCAGGAUGAAGGGCUUAGGUUCGUAAACUGCUUUUAUAUGUGACGAUUAUGACGGUAGCAUAUGAAUAAGGAUCGGCUAAUUCCGUGCCAGCAGCCGCGGUCAUACGGAAGAUCCAAGCGUUAUCCGGAAUUACUGGGCGUAAAGAGUUGCGUAGGUGGCAUAGUAAGUAGAUAGUGAAAUGAUGCGGCUCAACCGUAUGUCCAUUAUCUAAACUGCUGAGCUAGA